rnacentral:rRNA from 1 species
AUUGAACGCUGGCGGCAGGCCUGACACAUGCAAGUCGAACGCGUGGCGGACUGGUGAGUAAUGUCUGGGACACUGCCUGAUGGAGGGGGAUAACUCCUGGAAACGGUAGAUAAUACCGCAUCCCCUCAGAUGUGCCCAGAUUGGAUUAGCUAGUUGGUGGGGUAACGGGUAACAACGGCGACGCUCCAUAGCUGGUCUAAGAGGAUGACCGGCAAGACGGGAAGUGGGACACGGUGCAGAAACCUAAGGGAGGCAGCAGUGGGGAAUAUUGCAAAAUGGGCGCAAGCCGGAUGCAGACAUGGCGGGUGGAUGAAGAAGGCCUUGGGGUGGAAAAGUACUUGCAGCGGGGAGGCGUUGCCCGCAGAGGAAGCACCGGCUAACUCCGUGCCAGCCGCCGCGGUAAUUC